GUGCGGGUGGCCAGCGGCCCGGGGACUCCGAGGCGGUGGGUGCGGGAGCAGAAGUGAGACCGGGAGGACAGGUGCGGGGGAGGUGACGGAAGGAAAGGUAAGAGGCUCAUGCAGAAGAAAAAGUGGAGGGAGCUCAGAGGCAGACACCCAGCACACCAGUCCUCACCCUUGCCACCAUAAGCCAAGACCCCUAGAGGCCCUGCCUGUAUGUCUAUGCUUUCUUGCCUCAGAAAUCCAGGAGCUAGGCUUCCGCGGCAGAGGACGCUCAGACAUCUGGAGCCAGAGCUUCCACCCUUCCGGACCUGGACGACAUCAUGUCCGUCACCAUGUCCACCCAAGCUGGCGGAAGAAAAACCGGAAUUGGGCCUGGGGCCCACCCCAGCUCCGCCGGGGAAGAGGGAAGGCAAAGGCGGUUAACCUACACCGAGUUCCAAGCCGGCCUGGCGCCUACCCAGGAGAUCUGGCUGUGGGGAAGAAUUUCCAGGGUUAGAGCCUGCCUGCUGUCCUGUUUCCUUACACUCAGGGGAAGCCCUCAGCAUUCUCCGAGGAAAGGGACGUGAGAGAGUGGGUUGGGAAUAGGGAGUUUACUAAAAGAGGAGUAAGAAAAGAAAACAAAACAAAACAAAAAUAAUGGGGGAAGAAACAGCAUCACCAUUUAGUGGAAAGAGAUUUAGGCUGGGAUGCAAUAGCCUUAAAUUCUCACCCUGACUUUAUUAUUUAUUAGCUGCGGAAUCUUGGACAAGUUACUUAAAUUCUCUGAGUGUCAAGUCAUUCUUUAUAAAAGUGGAAUAGUGACUUUUUCACAAAAGAUUGUCUGGAUUAGUGCUUGCCUGUGGCUAAGGGUAGAUGGAGAGUGACUAUAAAUGGGCACAAGAUUUCUUUUUGGGGUGAGGGAAUUGUUCUCAAACAAAACUGUAAAUAUACUCUAAAAAAUCACUGAAUGUGCACUUUAAUUAAGUGAAUUUUAUGAUAUAUAUGUUAUACCUCAAUAAAACUGUUUUUAAAUUUUUUUAAA